rnacentral:rRNA from 1 species
UACGAAGGGGGCUAGCGUUGUUCGGAUUUACUGGGCGUAAAGCGCACGUAGGCGGUUUGUUAAGUCAGAGGUGAAAUCCCGGAGCUCAACUCCGGAACUGCCUUUGAUACUGGCAAGCUAGAGUCCGGAAGAGGUAAAGUGGAACUCCUAGUGUAGAGGUGGAAUUCGUAGAUAUUAGGAAGAACACCAGGUGGCGAAAGGCGCUUACUGGUCCGGAACUGACGCUGAGGUGCGAAAGCGUGGGGAGCAAACAGG